GACGAACGCUGGCGGCGUGCCUAAUACAUGCAAGUCGAGCGCAGGAAGCUGACGGAACUCUUCGGAGGGAAGGCAGCGGAAUGAGCGGCGGACGGGUGAGUAACACGUAAGGAACCUGCCUCAAGGAUUGGGAUAACUCCGAGAAAUCGGAGCUAAUACCGGAUAGUUCAUCGGACCGCAUGGUCCGUUGAUGAAAGGCGCUUCGGCGUCACCUUGAGAUGGCCUUGCGGUGCAUUAGCUAGUUGGUGGGGUAACGGCCCACCAAGGCGACGAUGCAUAGCCGACCUGAGAGGGUGAUCGGCCACACUGGGACUGAGACACGGCCCAGACUCCUACGGGAGGCAGCAGUAGGGAAUCUUCCACAAUGGACGAAAGUCUGAUGGAGCAACGCCGCGUGAGUGAUGAAGGUUUUCGGAUCGUAAAACUCUGUUGUAAGGGAAGAACACGUACGAGAGGGAAUGCUCGUACCUUGACGGUACCUUACGAGAAAGCCACGGCUAACUACGUGCCAGCAGCCGCCGCAGUAA
rnacentral:rRNA from 1 species